rnacentral:siRNA from 1 species
GUAGAUUUGGUCCAUUUUGG